UACGUAGGAGGCAAGCGUUGUCCGGAAUUACUGGGUGUAAAGCGCGUGUAGGCGGCAGGCCGAGUCUGUGGUGAAAUCGCUCGGCUCAACUGGGCGGGGUCCAUGGAAACUGGUCAGCUGGAGGACGGUAGAGGUGAGUGGAAUUCCCGGUGUAGUGGUGAAAUGCGUAGAGAUCGGGAGGAACACCCGUGGCGAAGGCGGCUCACUGGGCCGGUCCUGACGCUGAGACGCGAAGGCGUGGGGAGCGAACGGG
rnacentral:rRNA from 1 species